rnacentral:rRNA from 1 species
GAAAAUUACAAGCAUAAGCUUAAAACUCAAAGGACUUGGCGGCGCUUUAGACCCACCUAGAGGAGCCUGUCCUGUAACCGAUAACCCCCGUUAAACCUUACCUUCUUUUGCCCCCAGUCUAUAUACCGCCGUCGUCAGCUUACCCUUUGAGGGACUUACUAGUAAGCAGAGUCGGUUCAACCCCAAACGUCAGGUCGAGGUGUAGCAUAUAAGAAGUGAAGAGAUGGGGUACAUUUCCUACUCAGGGCCCACGGAUAAUGCUUUGAAACAAGCAUAUUGAAGUUGGAUUUAGCAGUAAGUAAAAAAUAGAGUGUUUU